GUCGAGAAUCUUUCACAAUGGGGGCAACCCUGAUGGAGCGACGCCGCGUGGAGGAUAAGGUCUUCGGAUUGUAAACUCCUGUCAUGCGUGAACAAGGUUGCUUGGUUAAUACCUGGGCAAAUUGAUGGUAACGCAAGAGGAAGAGACGGCUAACUCUGUGCCAGCAGCCGCGGUAAUACAGAGGUCUCAAGCGUUGUUCGGAAUCACUGGGCGUAAAGGGUGCGUAGGUGGCGUGGUAAGUCAGAUGUGAAAGCCCGGGGCUCAACCUCGGAACUGCAUCCGAUACUGCCAUGCUAGAGUACUGGAGAGGUGACUGGAAUUCUCGGUGUAGCAGUGAAAUGCGUAGAUAUCGAGAGGAAUACCAAAGGCGUAGGCAGGACACUGGACAGUUACUGACACUGAGGCACGAAGGCCAGGGGAGCGAACGGGAUUAGAAACCCGGGUAGUCC
rnacentral:rRNA from 1 species